GACGAACCGUGCGAACGUUAUUCGGAAUCACUGGGCUUAAAGGGUGCGUAGGCUGCGAGGAGGGUGGGGUGUGAAAUCCCUCGGCUUAACCGAGGAAUUGCGCUCCAAACCGCCUUGCUGGAGUGAAACAGAGGUGAGCGGAACUAAUGGUGGAGCGGUGAAAUGCGUUGAUAUCAUUAGGAACACCAGAGGCGAAGGCGGCUCACUGGGUCUCAACUGACGCUGAUGCACGAAAGCUAGGGUAGCGAACGGG
rnacentral:rRNA from 1 species